UACAGAGGGUGCGAGCGUUACUCGGAAUUACUGGGCGUAAAGCGCACGUAGGCGGCUUUGUAAGUUAGAGGUGAAAGCCCGGGGCUCAACUCCGGAAUUGCCUUUAAGACUGCAUCGCUAGAACGUCGGAGAGGUAAGUGGAAUUCCGAGUGUAGAGGUGAAAUUCGUAGAUAUUCGGAAGAACACCAGUGGCGAAGGCGACUCACUGGACGACUGUUGACGCUGAGGUGCGAAAGCGUGGGGAGCAAACAGG
rnacentral:rRNA from 1 species